rnacentral:rRNA from 1 species
UAGUGGCGAACGGGUGAGUAACACGUGGGCAAUCUGCCCUUCACUCUGGGACAAGCCCUGGAAACGGGGUCUAAUACCGGAUACGACCUGGGAAGGCAUCUUCUCGGGUGGAAAGCUCCGGCGGUGAAGGAUGAGCCCGCGGCCUAUCAGCUUGUUGGUGGGGUAAUGGCCUACCAAGGCGACGACGGGUAGCCGGCCUGAGAGGGCGACCGGCCACACUGGGACUGAGACACGGCCCAGACUCCUACGGGAGGCAGCAGUGGGGAAUAUUGCACAAUGGGCGCAAGCCUGAUGCAGCGACGCCGCGUGAGGGAUGACGGCCUUCGGGUUGUAAACCUCUUUCAGCAGGGAAGAAGCGCAAGUGACGGUACCUGCAAAAGAAGCGCCGGCUAACUACGUGCCAGCAGCCGCGGUAAUACGUAGGGCGCAAGCGUUGUCCGGAAUUAUUGGGCGUAAAGAGCUCGUAGGCGGCUUGUCACGUCGGGUGUGAAAGCCCGGGGCUUAACCCCGGGUCUGCAUCCGAUACGGGCAGGCUAGAGUGUGGUAGGGGAGAUCGGAAUUCCUGGUGUAGCGGUGAAAUGCGCAGAUAUCAGGAGGAACACCGGUGGCGAAGGCGGAUCUCUGGGCCAUUACUGACGCUGAGGAGCGAAAGCGUGGGGAGCGAACAGGAUUAGAUACCCUGGUAGUCCACGCCGUAAACGUUGGGAACUACGUGUUGGCGACAUUCCACGUCGUCUGUGCCGCAGCUAACGCAUUAACUUCCCCGUCUGGGGAAUACCGCCGCAAGGCUAAAAAUCACAAGGAAUUGACGGGGGCCCGCACAAGCAGCGGAGCAUGUGGCUUAAUUCGACGCAACGCGAAGAACCUUACCAAGGCUUGACAUAUACCGGAAAGCAUCAGAGAUGGUGCCCCCCUUGUGGUCGGUAUACAGGUGGUGCAUGGCUGUCGUCAGCUCGUGUCGUGAGAUGUUGGGUUAAGUCCCGCAACGAGCGCAACCCUUGUCCUGUGUUGCCAGCAUGCCCUUCGGGGUGAUGGGGACUCACAGGAGACCGCCGGGGUCAACUCGGAGGAAGGUGGGGACGACGUCAAGUCAUCAUGCCCCUUAUGUCUUGGGCUGCACACGUGCUACAAUGGCCGGUACAAAGAGCUGCGAUGCCGCGAGGCGGAGCGAAUCUCAAAAAGCCGGUCUCAGUUCGGAUUGGGGUCUGCAACUCGACCCCAUGAAGUCGGAGUUGCUAGUAAUCGCAGAUCAGCAUUGCUGCGGUGAAUACGUUCCCGGGCCUUGUACACACCGCCCGUCACGUCACGAAAGUCGGUAACACCCGAAGCCGGUGGCCCAACCCCUUGUGGGAGGGAGCUGUCGA